AUCAGAUAGUACAACAGAGUCAUCAUAUGAUGAAUAAUAAUUCCAUCAUUUAGAGAGAAUACUAGAUGGAUGGCACCUGUAAUGUCAAUCAAAAAUAAUGGAUCCAUUAUUAUUCACCUUAAUGGGAUGCUAUAAUCUAGUUAUCCCCAUAACUAGCAUAUUUUAUGAACCUAAUAAUUUAGAGGAUCUAAGAAUCAGUUUAGAGAAAAGAUGAGAAGAGAUCAAUAAGUAA
rnacentral:lncRNA from 1 species